rnacentral:rRNA from 1 species
GAUGAACGCUGGCGGUAUGCCUAACACAUGCAAGUCGUACGAGAGUUUUUAACUCUAGUGGCGGACGGGUGAGUAACACGUGAGAAUUUGCCUUUAGGAGGGGGUCAACAAUUGGAAACGAAUGCUAAUACCCCCAUAUGCUUUAGAGUGAAAUGGAUUUUAUCCGCCUAGAGAGAAGCUCGCGGCUGAUUAGCUUGUUGGUAAGGUAAGAGCUUACCAAGGCGACGAUCAGUAUCUGGUUUGAGAGGACGAUCAGACACACUGGAACUGAGACACGGUCCAGACUCCUACGGGAGGCAGCAGUGGGGAAUUUUCCGCAAUGGGCGAAAGCCUGACGGAGCAAUACCGCGUGAGGGAAGACUGCCUAUGGGUUGUAAACCUCUUUUUUCUAGGGAGGAAUAAAUGACGUGUACCUGAAGAAUAAGCAUCGGCUAACUCCGUGCCAGCAGCCGCGGUAAUGUGACUAC